GACGAACGCUGGCGGCGUGCUUAACACAUGCAAGUCGAACGGAAAGGCCCUGCUUUUGUGGGGUGCUCGAGUGGCGAACGGGUGAGUAACACGUGAGUAACCUGCCCUUGACUUUGGGAUAACUUCAGGAAACUGGGGCUAAUACCGGAUAGGAGCUCCUGCUGCAUGGUGGGGGUUGGAAAGUUUCGGCGGUUGGGGAUGGACUCGCGGCUUAUCAGCUUGUUGGUGGGGUAGUGGCUUACCAAGGCUUUGACGGGUAGCCGGCCUGAGAGGGUGACCGGCCACAUUGGGACUGAGAUACAGCCCAGACUCCUACGGGAGGCAGCAGUUAGGAAUAUUGCACAAUGGGCGGAAGCCUGAUGCAGCAACGCCGCGUGCGGGAGGACGGCCUUCGGGUUGUAAACCGCUUUCGCCUGUGACGAAGCGUGAGUGAAGGUAAUGGGUAAAGAAGCACAGGCUAACUACGU
rnacentral:rRNA from 1 species